rnacentral:rRNA from 1 species
AUGAACGCUGGCGGCGUGCCUAAUACAUGCAAGUCGAACGAGUUCUCGUUGAUGAUCGGUGCUUGCACCGAGAUUCAACAUGGAACGAGUGGCGGACGGGUGAGUAACACGUGGGUAACCUGCCCUUAAGUGGGGGAUAACAUUUGGAAACAGAUGCUAAUACCGCAUAGAUCCAAGAACCGCAUGGUUCUUGGCUGAAAGAUGGCGUAAGCUAUCGCUUUUGGAUGGACCCGCGGCGUAUUAGCUAGUUGGUGAGGUAAUGGCUCACCAAGGCGAUGAUACGUAGCCGAACUGAGAGGUUGAUCGGCCACAUUGGGACUGAGACACGGCCCAAACUCCUACGGGAGGCAGCAGUAGGGAAUCUUCCACAAUGGACGCAAGUCUGAUGGAGCAACGCCACGUGAGUGAAGAAGGCUUUCGGGUCGUAAAACUCUGUUGUUGGAGAAGAAUGGUCGGCAGAGUAACUGUUGUCGGCGUGACGGUAUCCAACCAGAAAGCCACGGCUAACUACGUGCCAGCAGCCGCGGUAAUACGUAGGUGGCAAGCGUUAUCCGGAUUUAUUGGGCGUAAAGCGAGCGCAGGCGGUUUUUUAAGUCUGAUGUGAAAGCCCUCGGCUUAACCGAGGAAGCGCAUCGGAAACUGGGAAACUUGAGUGCAGAAGAGGACAGUGGAACUCCAUGUGUAGCGGUGAAAUGCGUAGAUAUAUGGAAGAACACCAGUGGCGAAGGCGGCUGUCUGGUCUGUAACUGACGCUGAGGCUCGAAAGCAUGGGUAGCGAACAGGAUUAGAUACCCUGGUAGUCCAUGCCGUAAACGAUGAAUGCUAGGUGUUGGAGGGUUUCCGCCCUUCAGUGCCGCAGCUAACGCAUUAAGCAUUCCGCCUGGGGAGUACGACCGCAAGGUUGAAACUCAAAGGAAUUGACGGGGGCCCGCACAAGCGGUGGAGCAUGUGGUUUAAUUCGAAGCAACGCGAAGAACCUUACCAGGUCUUGACAUCUUUUGAUCACCUGAGAGAUCAGGUUUCCCCUUCGGGGGCAAAAUGACAGGUGGUGCAUGGUUGUCGUCAGCUCGUGUCGUGAGAUGUUGGGUUAAGUCCCGCAACGAGCGCAACCCUUAUGACUAGUUGCCAGCAUUUAGUUGGGCACUCUAGUAAGACUGCCGGUGACAAACCGGAGGAAGGUGGGGAUGACGUCAAAUCAUCAUGCCCCUUAUGACCUGGGCUACACACGUGCUACAAUGGAUGGUACAACGAGUUGCGAGACCGCGAGGUCAAGCUAAUCUCUUAAAGCCAUUCUCAGUUCGGACUGUAGGCUGCAACUCGCCUACACGAAGUCGGAAUCGCUAGUAAUCGCGGAUCAGCACGCCGCGGUGAAUACGUUCCCGGGCCUUGUACACACCGCCCGUCACACCAUGAGAGUUGGAAAUGCCCGAAGUCAGUGACCUGACCGCAAGGAGGGAGCUGCCGAAGGUGGAGCCGAUGACUGGGGUG